CAACUUUUUCACCUGGUUUAUUAUCACCCUUGAAAGUGGACCAUGCUAUCAAUUUCAAAUAUCAAGGCAUAACACGCAGUCUGUAUGGAACCGGAAAGAGAAAGCAGAGGAGGUCUGUAUUCGUCAUGCCAAAAAGUAGUUUCUCCGUGUGCCACCUGCCUGUUCUGUAGCACAUUGCUUUCACUAUACCCAGGCCAAGGCUGUGAUGGAUUUCUCUCUGUGUGUAGGAAGAUUGGAGGCAUAGAAAGUAAUGUUGAAAGGGUCAAAGUUGUUGGAGUGAAUUGGAGAAGGUGGCCCUGGAAGUGGUCUGAAAAGCCAGCAGAUAAUGUCGUUGCACAGGUGUGAAGAAAUAGGGCCUUCUGACACACAAAGCACAAUGCAUCCUUAUAUGAGGUGCCUGAAUGCAGUGCUCUGUCCUGAGAGAUGAAACUUUGUGACAAGGAUCAUUUUUCUCUUUUGUACCCUCAUGUGUCCCACAUGCCUGGAGUUCAACCUGGAACAAAAUCUGCAUGUAGUAAAUAUUUAUUGCAUUGGCUUAAAUUCUCAGGAGAAUGAGAUUUUUUAGUGGAUUUAGCUGCCUAAAAUGUUCAGCAUUGCUCAGUUGUUUUAAGAUGGGCAUGUUACUUAAGAUAGAGAAAAUUAUGCCAGUGUAAUUUGUUUUCUAAUAUCAAUAGAACAACACUUGUAAUAAACAUGAUUUUCUUCUCAACA